rnacentral:rRNA from 1 species
AUUGAACGCUGGCGGCAUGCCUUACACAUGCAAGUCGAACGGUAACAGGUCUUCGGAUGCUGACGAGUGGCGAACGGGUGAGUAAUACAUCGGAACGUGCCCAGUAGUGGGGGAUAGCCCGGCGAAAGCCGGACAAAUACCGCAUACGACCUCCGGGUCAAAGCGGGGGCUCGCAAGACCUCGCGCUAUUAGAGCGGCCGGUGUCAGCUUAGCCAGUUGGUGGGGCAAAGGCCUACCAAGGCGACGAUCUGUAGCUGGUCUGAGAGGACGACCAGCCACACUGGGACUGAAACACGGCCCAGACUCCUACGGGAGGCAGCAGUGGGGAAUUUUGGACAAUGGGGGCAACCCUGAUCCAGCCAUGCCGCGUGCGGGAAGAAGGCCUUCGGGUUGUAAACCGCUUUUGUCGGGGAAGAAACGGUCUGCGCUAAUACCGCGGACUAAUGACGGUACCCGAAGAAUAAGCACCGGCUAACUACGUGCCAGCCGCCGCAGUAAAAC